GGUCUUCUGAAGGAGUUGAGUGGGAGCAACACAUUCAGUCCCCCAGGUGGUGAUACUUGUUCUCGUCUUCUCAGCCUGGCAGCCUGCCCUUGACUCCUGAGUUCUGUGAGCCCUUCAAAACUGCAAGUCAUUCUCAAAAGAAAUUUGGGUUUACCUAGUGUGCACCUUUGAGAGUUUGGGAACAGUAUGCAAAUUCAAGUUACCCUCAUGUUUUCUCGCUAUCUGGUUUUUCUGCCUAUCGUUCCCUCUGCGCAUGAGUAGUCAUACAAAACAAUUUUUGCCCUUGUUAUUUGUCCUGUGAAUGUUGGCAUUUGCUUCUUAUACAGUAGAAAUUAGCGUUGUGUAUUUGUCAGUGAUAUAAAACUUUCAAUAACUGUAAGUCUGUAUAAGUUGGGUAAGAAUAUCAUCCAAGCAAAGAAAAGAACCAAGAAGGUAGAUGAUAGAAAUGCAAGAGAAGAGGAGAGGACAAGAAAGGUGGUGUCUCUAGCAAACAGAAUGAGGGGUCCUGAAAUGCUUGCUAAUGGGGAAACCAAGACCUCUGCGGGGCAUUUAUUUUGGUAUUAAUGAGUCAGUCAAGAAAAAUAAGAAAGCUAUUAGGGUCAGUGUGCCAAGGGGCACACUAGAAUCAUUGAGAAAAAUCAUACAUAACUCCAAAUGCCAAAAUAGAGAAAAUGAAAAGAGAUUUGUGUUUGUGGCUUCUAAAACAGAGAAGGCUGAAUGGGCCUCUUUGCCUCAUCUGCCAGCGAGCCUAGCAAAAAAUGCAAAUUUAAAUUUUGAUCGGGAUGGAAAAUUGUAACAUUCAUCGUGAGUAACGCGUGGUUGGACAGGUUUAAGAAACACCAGGGUGUGUAUGAAAAGAAGUGGCUGGCAGAGGAAGCCGACCGUGAAGCUGCCGCGGACUGUCCUGGAUACCCGAAGAAACUGAUGGAGAAAAAUCGCUAUUUGCCUGAACAGGUCUUCAGUGCUGAUGAAACAGUCCUGUUCUAGAAGCGCAUGGCUACUUGCACAUUUAUUGCGAAGGAUGAGAAAAAGACCUGAGGCUUCGAGCCUGGAAAAGAUAAGCUCAAAGUUCUGCUUUGUUCCAGUGCUUCUGGUGACUUUCUGAUUAAACCGCUGUUGCUUCACAGAUUCCACAUUUCUUGCCCUCUUAAAAGAAAUUGCCAGAAACACUUUUCUGUGUACAUGAAGGGAAACCAUAAAAUAUGGAUCACUGAGAAAUUCCUGUUGGACUGGCUUUUGAAGUGUUUUGUUCCUGAGGUUAAACAGUAUUUAAACCCAAAACAUCUUGAAUUCGAGGUGUAACUGAUUCUGGACACGGCUCCCACUGACAAAAGCAUGAUCCUUGUAUUAAAGGCAGCUGUAUUCCCCCCAGUACAUCUCCACUCUUUCCACCCUUGCACCUGGGAGUGUAUUUGAUUGACUACCUGGCAAAUCUUACGAGAGAGACACCAGAAAUUACCGUGGAAAUAGCUUGGUAAAAUUUCUCCAUUUGUAACACUUUGAUACUAGUAGGAGAAUCAGUGAGAGAGAGAAAAUGAUCAACCCUUAACGGAGACUGGCAGCAACUUUGGAAUGAAGUUGUAAGUGAUUCUGAAGCUUUCCUUCCAGUGCCUGAAGAAAUUGAAAAUUUGGUAGCAUCUGCAGAACAUACGGGUGGUGACGGAUUCGAAGACAGUGAAUUAAGUGACGUUGCUGAACUGUUAGAUUCUCACCCUCAGAAGAUGGUUGAGAAAUAUUUCAGAGAUGGGAUCCCAUCAAAAGUUGAUGAAAGAUGUCAGCGUAGAUUACCUUCUAGAACUCAAAGAAUGUGGAAGCACCCACUCCGCAAAUCAAGUUGUCAUGGUGAUUCACAGGAAAGAGAUCCUUCGCUGGAAUAUUUAUUGACCUACAGGCAAGGCUCAAAUGAUUACUCACAACCUUAUAAAGCAAUAAUAAGAAACCUCCAAACAAAGGCCAGUAAGUGUUUUCUCUGCUUGCCUCAACAGGGAGAAGAGGCUGUACCACCGGGCUGUGUCACUCAAGCCCUUGCCCAAAAAAGCAGGCACAAGGGCCUCACACUGAUGCUUGAACCUGGGGAUUCAGACUCUGGCAGCUCUGAUGAUGAGUGAUGAUCCGUGUGCCCAAGAAUGAGAGUGAAGCAGGACACUGAGUUUACUCAGAUCCAGACAAAACCCUGUCACUGCUGUGAUGAUCAGCAUUUUCACUGAUGCAUGAUGUUCCUCACUUUGAGAUCAGAGAGAAAUAGAAAUUAAUUGCCCUGUCAUCACUAUGACUAAUGUAAAAUUAGUAAA
rnacentral:lncRNA from 1 species